GCUGCUUCAGCAUGUUGAUGUCAUCUGUUACUGGCUGCUCGAGAAUCUCAAUUCACUGUGUGCUCAGCAGAGGAAAUGUUCAGGAGAGUCGUUGCAUAUGCUGUAAACACUCAAGGAUCACUCAAGAUGCUCUCCUGCCCCUACAGUCUCUAAUGAAUAUUGCAGUUUGUCUGCUAGCAAAUGCUACAAGAAGCCCAAGAAUCAAGAAUCAGAAAUCACUGACAAGAAAAAUAUGUGUGCACUCAGUCCACUAGUGUCCAGUCAGAGAAAAGUAUAUAAGGUCAAUGUUUAUAUAGAACCGAGCUACAGGCCAUAAUCAGAUUCCUGCUCCUCCUUAAUGAGCUGUUUAAGACUGCCGUUUGUUAGAAUUGUACAAAUUCUAUUUUUUGCCUUAUGCACAGUAUUUCCAUGUAUGUUUACAUGUUUUUCAAUAAA